rfam:Chlorocebus sabaeus isolate 1994-021 chromosome 22, whole genome shotgun sequence.
AGCUUUGCACAGUGGUGGUAUUGUAGCCAAUGAGGUUUAUCUGAGGUGUGAUUAUUGCUAAUUGAAAACUUUUCCCAACACUCCACCAUUACAACUUGCAAUAUAGUAGGCAUCGGCAAAAAAAAAAAAAA